UCCAUGAUCCUGAAAUGAUGUCCCUAUCCACAAUAACUUGUGACAAGUCUUAUGUAGUGGAUUACCUGACAAAGGCCUUGAAGCAGCUUGUUAAGAAGGAUGGCAUUAUGUUUCCCAUAACAUAGGUGACCAAUGGAUUUUAGUGGUACUCAUUCCAAGGUCUGGUAAGGUCUUGUACUUUGAUUCUAAGAGGUCCAAUCCACGUGAUCAUUCCUUAUUGAAAGAUGUCCUCAAUGAGUGAGUCAUUUCCUAAUGUUCCUUUAAUUCAUAGAUAAACUUUGUACAAUACCAUAAGUAAUGUUGCAUGAUUUGCAGGGCAUAUCUUUCGAUCUGCAGACUCAAGGGGUGUGAUGAAAAGUUAUUGGUACAUGUCACAAAGUUCCUAUGCCACCAGCAACCUCUUGGCAAUGCCGGUGGGUUCUACACAGCCAAUCAUAUAUUGGAUGCUAUGUGAAUACUAUAUGUGGAAGAUCCUAAGGUACCUAUGUGUUGAACAUAUCAUUUCUAGUGCUAUGCCAAUCAUAUGCUAGGGAACAGCUUGUGCAGGCCACUUGAACUUGUGCAAGUAGUUGUAGCUCACAAACAGUGCAGCAGAAAUUAGAAUUUCUGAAUGUUUGUUUUGGAUAAAAAUUAAUUCCUCUCUGGUUGAAAUGUUGAAGAUGUAGCUGCUUGUGUUUAUGGGCAAUACAGUAGAAACUUGUGCAAGUAGUUGUAGUGUUGAAGCUGCAUUUCCUAUCAUGCCUGUGAAUAAAUAUGGUUAGAUUUACAAAGUAGCUAGAUCUUGCAGCUUGUCUAUAUUUUGUAGAUGUGUUUAAUAAAAACUGAUAGCUAGCUCUUGUUGUAUGUACUCAGUAUUUCGAAGUAUUAACUACUCCCCUUGAUAAACAUGAGUUGGCCAAUACUCAAGAAAAGAUUGCUUCAUUCAUGAUGGACUAGGUCAUCAGUAGCAAAGGGGAUCAUCACUAUCAAAAACCACGGCUUUCAGCAUGUUAGAUAAUGCCCUAUGAAGUAACAGAACACCGAGAUAAACCUGAGUGAUGUACUCUGAUGAAUCCUCUAUUAUGUUGGUACCUGUUAUUUAUGUUGCUACCUGUUUAUGACUUUAUGUGAACCUACAUGAUGAACCUAGUUAACAUUGUCGUAAA